rnacentral:rRNA from 1 species
GAGUUUGAUCAUGGCUCAGGAUGAACGCUAGCGGCAGGCUUAACACAUGCAAGUCGAGGGGUAUAGGUUUUCGGACCUAGAGACCGGCGCACGGGUGCGUAACGCGUAUGCAAUCUGCCUUUUACAGAGGGAUAGCCCAGAGAAAUUUGGAUUAAUACCUCAUAGUAUUAUUGAAUGGCAUCAUUUAAUAAUUAAAGUUCCAACGGUAAAAGAUGAGCAUGCGUCCCAUUAGCUAGAUGGUAAGGUAACGGCUUACCAUGGCGACGAUGGGUAGGGGUCCUGAGAGGGAGAUCCCCCACACUGGUACUGAGACACGGACCAGACUCCUACGGGAGGCAGCAGUGAGGAAUAUUGGUCAAUGGGCGCAAGCCUGAACCAGCCAUGCCGCGUGCAGGAUGAAGGUCCUAUGGAUUGUAAACUGCUUUUGACAGGAAGAAACACUGGAACUGUUCCAGCUUGACGGUACUGUAAGAAUAAGGAUCGGCUAACUCCGUG